UUUCCGGUUGAUCCCGCCGGAGGCCAUUGCUAUCGGAGUCCGAUUUAGCCAUGCUAGUCGAGCGAGGUUAGCCCUCGCGGCGAACAGCUCAGUAACACGUGGCCAAGCUACCCUGCAGAGGGGGACAGCGUCGGGAAACUGACGGGAAUCCCCCAUACCGGUCUCACGCUGGAAUGCCGAGACCGACAAACGCUCCGGCGCUGCAGGAUGCGGCUGCGGCCGAUUAGGUAGUCGGUGGGGUAACGGCCCACCGAGCCGAUAAUUGGUACGGGGUGUGAGAGCACGAGCCCGGAGACGGAAUCUGAGACAAGAUUCCGGGCCCUACGGGGCGCAGCAGGCGCGAAACCUUUACACUGCACGAAGGUGCGAUAAGGGGACUCCGAGUGCGAGGGCAUACAGUCCUCGCUAUUGUGUACCGUAGGGUGGUACACGACCAAGAGCUGGGCAAGACCGGUGCCAGCCGCCGCGGUAAUACCGGCAGCUCGAGUGAUGGCCGAUUUUAUUGGGCCUAAAGCGUCCGUAGCUGGCCCUGCAAGUCCGUCGGGAAAUCCACUCGCCUAACGAGUGGGCGUCCGGCGGAAACUACAGGGCUUGGGACCGGAAGACUUGAGGGGUACGUCUGGGGUAGGAGUGAAAUCCUGUAAUCCUGGACGGACCGCCGAUAGCGAAAGCACCUCAAGACGACGGAUCCGACAGUGAGGGACGAAAGCUAGGGUCUCGAACCGGAUUAGAUACCCGGGUAGUCCUAGCUGUAAACGAUGUUCGCUAGAUGUGGCACAGGCUACGUGCCUGUGCUGUGUCGUAGGGAAGCCGAGAAGCGAACCGCCUGGGAAGUACGUCCGCAAGGAUGAAACUUAAAGGAAUUGGCGGGGGAGCACUACAACCGGAGGAGCCUGCGGUUUAAUUGGAUUCAUCGCCGGAA
rnacentral:rRNA from 1 species